UGGAUGAUCAGUCAACACAAGGGAAUGACUUGAGAUACUUCCAACAUGUUCAAAUGGGGUCUAUUCAUCAGUCAAAACGUUAAUCUUGAAGGAGCAAAAGUUUGUUCAUGAACUGUCAUGCUCUCAAGGCGAAGCCCACGCGUUCCGAAAAAAAAAACAAAUAAAUAAAUAAAUAAAUAAAUAAAAUAUAACAGAAAAAUCUUGGACUCGAACCUCUCUCUUUUGAGCCCACAAAGUCACAAAAAU
rnacentral:lncRNA from 1 species